GGACCUCCAAUCAAGCAGGGCUACCCGCUGAAUUUAAGCAUAUAACUAAGCGGAGGAAAAGAAACUAACCAGGAUUCCCUCAGUAACGGCGAGUGAAGCGGGAACAGCUCACCAUGAGAAUCUGAAAGGUUUUGCCUUUCCGAGUUGUAGUCUCUAGAAGCGCAGCCAGCAGACGGAGAGGGUUAAGUCCCUUGGAACAGGGCGCCUGAGAGGGUGACAGUCCCGUUCAUACUCUCUCCAUUCUGCGUACGGCGUGCUCUCAGUGAGUCGAGUUGCUUGGGAUUGCAGCUCAAAGUGGGUGGUAAAUUCCAUCUAAGGCUAAAUAUGGGUGGGAGACCGAUAGCGAACAAGUACUGUGAAGGAAAGAUGCAAAGAACUUUGAAAAGAGAGUUAAAGAGUGCCUGAAAUUGCUGAAAGGGAAGGAAAGGAAGUCAGUGUGAUUCUCUGUCAUUU
rnacentral:rRNA from 1 species